UGGGGAAUAUUGGACAAUGGGCGGAAGCCUGAUCCAGCAACGCCGCGUGAGGGAUGACGGCCUUCGGGUUGUAAACCUCUUUCAGUACCGACGAAGCGAAAGUGACGGUAGGUACAGCAGAAGGACCGGCCAACUACGUGCCAGCAGCCGCGGUAAUACGUAGGGUCCGAGCGUUGUCCGGAAUUAUUGGGCGUAAAGGGCUCGUAGGCGGUUUGUCGCGUCGGGAGUGAAAACCAUGGGCUUAACUCAUGGCUUGCUUUCGAUACGGGCAGACUAGAGGUAUGCAGGGGAGAAUGGAAUUCCUGGUGUAGCGGUGAAAUGCGCAGAUAUCAGGAGGAACACCGGUGGCGAAGGCGGUUCUCUGGGCAUGACCUGACGCUGAGGAGCGAAAGUGUGGGGAGCGAACAGG
rnacentral:rRNA from 1 species